CCUACCGUCCCAUCUACCGCACCCUUCCAACCUCGAGCUUCGCUAGUGGCAGACGUACGGCCGAGGAGAUGAAGCAACGGCGGCGUGCCACCGCCACCUCCGAUGCACAGCGGCCACGGCACCAUCGGCACAAGAUUCGCGUGGGGAGCCCAGCCGUCGAGCAAGAGAGGCCUACCAACGACCGGCCAGAUUAGAGUUCCCGUGACCCAUGCACCGACGGAAGACCCUGGCCCCGCCUCCUCUAAACGUCGCAGUUCUUCUCCACGAAGAUUGUGCCCUUCAUAGUCUGACGGGGCGGUCACUGUUGUCAACAUCUUCGUGCUCUUCCUUCACGAGGGAAAUAGCAGAUGGUGUCGUCCAUGGCGUCGUCCCCAGCUCUAGCACGUCGGAGAUGACGGGCCACCAGUCAACACGAGCUCUACCAUGGUUUAUGGCGAGGAGAGAAGAAGUGGUCGUUCGGGUUCUGCGAGAAUGACAAGUGCAGGUUCAUGUACACUAUUGUUUGAUAAAUUGGUGGCAAAUAGCUGUGUGAGCUUCAUUUGGUCAGGUUCUUUCGACUGCAUGAUACAUGAGACAUGGAUUCCUAUGGAUUGUUCAAGUGCGUUCAGUGUUAACGGAUGGAAUACUGAAUAGCCUUGGCCAUAAUGAGCAGGUGAGUCUUAUCAUCUUGCAUCUUCGUCACAUCUCAUGCAUUUCAUAUUGAUAUGGUACAAAACAUGCAACAGAAGUGCUACUAUAUUUUUAUUUCCUUGUCUCCUCUGAUUUAUUAUCAAAGAAAAGAACCACAUGUUGUUACUUGAAAGAGGCAAAGGUCUCAAAGAUCUCAAAGUUCCUUCUUCAUUUUUUAAGUUGGCAGUUCCAAACUUCACACAAGUAUCUUCUCUUGUACAUAGAAGAAGUACAAUAUGGUCGACUGCAGGUGCCUCCCCAGGGACACAGCUACUACCGUCACUGUUGAAAGAAUCACAGUUGUACUGGAAGGUCCUUCCUGCUUGUUGUGUCUGCCUUCUCAUCUUAUUUAUGAUCGUUUAUGUGAAGAAGCAGCAACAACUUGAUUUGUUUUCUUGUGUAGUAAUAUGUGAGUUGCAUUUGCAGACAUAUAUGGUUCAAGUCACUCUAUGUUAGUUAGAUGUUAUUAGUGUUUUUCUAUCAGACAUGGUUCUGCAAUAGGCUUGACUGCCUAAGUCUCACUCAGAUUUUAGACUUGAUCAAUAACUGCUUCCUUCCAUUAAGAUGUGAGGUCCCGAUCCCAAUGACAGAGCAUCAUCGCUGAACUAAUGUUCCUGAGAGUUCACUAUUUGAUUUUGUUGAACCAUGCAAGUUCAAAAUUUGAUGAAGCCAUGCAACUGGUAGAUGCUUCAACAAGGCAUAUAUUUGCAGUGUUCGGUAAGUAUCGUGUUCCUUCUGUACUCGAUAAAUUAGUGUUGUAUUUGCCUGGUAUGAGGAAGAUAGUGCAAUGCCGACAGAUAUAGUUGUAUUUGCCGGGUGUUAGUUUACAAGUGUUGUGUCGAAAGCAGGUUGAGGAGAACACAUAUGCACGGCCAGCUGCGCGGAUUAGGCGAUGGAACCAAUAACAGGAGAAAGGACGGAAAAUAUGAAGGAGAUGGUGAGUCUGGCAUUGGCAGUCGUCUGCAAAUGUGUCAUGGUCGGAUUAGGUCCAGCUAAUCAAUUCUUUUUGGGCAGCACUAGAGAAUUGAUGAAUGCAUGUUGUACAAUUGUCUAUGAUCUUCUCUGAUUUUCUAACAAAUGUGAAAUGUUGAUCAACUAAUAUUUGAGAUGUAAAUUGAUAUUCAAUUGUAGAAAUUGAUAUAUGUACUUCCUUCAUUCUCUGCUAUUUUUUUAUACUA